ACGUCACACACCAGUCACAGUUAGAGCGAUGUACUCUGCGCCCACUUUCGCUUCAAAAUAAACUUUAGAUAAAACUGAGGCAGCGACAAAACUUUUUUAUCUUUGGCACAUAUCAAGUUUAAAAUAACAUCUUAAAGCGAAACAUGAAUGUGAGUAUGGCGCCGCUAGCAUGAAUGCUACUUAGGUAGGGUUGCCAAACGUCCCUUGAAACACGGAAAUGUCCCGUAUUUAAAAACAAAAGGCUGGUGCGUCCUGUAAAAGAAAAAGGUAAAUCGUGACGUCACACGCCAGUUUUGGCUCGGCAGUUUCGCCACAGUCGCCAGCAGACACCAAGCAGGCAUCUUGUCAGUGCAGCAGAUAACUAAAUGUCCGAGGUUCAGCACACGACGUCAUUCAAUGAGGAUUUUACACAUCCAGUUUGAGGUGCUUGGGUGUGCUGUGGAAGCCUUUGACAACGCUGCACACACACUCACACACACACACACGCACAGGGUGUGUUGCCCUGAUGCUAGUUAGUUCCAUCAGGACGAGACUGAGCCCGAGUCUUCGACAUCAGUCGAGUCGUAUUCAUCAGCAGAUUCGGCCCGACAGAAUGGUGGUGACGGCCGACACCAGCGUGGCAAAGUUAGGCCGCAGCUCUGGAUCGGGGUCCCAGCACUGGAGCAUGAUGCUAUACCUGGAAAAAACACGGACAGUCUGAGUCUUUCGGUAGCAUCGUUUUACUGCUCAGUGUUGCCAACUUAGCGAGUGAUAAGAAAGCCCAAAUAGAUCGCAACACUGCAGCUACAAAGAAUACACUUGCUUUCAUAUUCUUUGUGUAACCUGUGAAUAAUAAUGUCAGAGAGAGUGUGCCGUUAGGGCCAGCAAGGCCUUCUCUGCUGGCCUAACAUAAAUCAUGAUCAUAGAUUAAUAAAAGUUCAUUUUAAUCUACUUUCCAU